rnacentral:rRNA from 1 species
GACGAACGCUGGCGGCGUGCUUAACACAUGCAAGUCGAACGGUGAACCUCUUCGGAGGGGAUCAGUGGCGAACGGGUGAGUAACACGUGGGCAACCUGCCCCCGGCUCUGGGAUAACUCCAAGAAAUUGGGGCUAAUACCGGAUGUUCACCGCUUCCCGCAUGGGUGGUGGUGGAAAGGGUUUCCGGCUGGGGAUGGGCCCGCGGCCUAUCAGCUUGUUGGUGGGGUAGUGGCCUACCAAGGCGACGACGGGUAGCCGGCCUGAGAGGGUGACCGGCCACACUGGGGUGGAGACACGGCACGGACUCCGACAGGAGGCAGCGCUGGGGAGUAGUGCGCAAGGGGCUUAAGCCUGACGCAGCGACGCAGCGUGGGGGAAGAAGGCAUUGGGGUUGUAGACGUAGAUCAGCCGGCACGAAACGAGAGUGACGGCACCGGAAGAAGAAGCACCGCACAACUACGUC